AAGGAAAUCUACAGAAUAAUAAAAACGGGUUGGAGCGCACACAUCAGGCAUUACAAAAUCCUGACUGGGAG
rnacentral:lncRNA from 1 species